rnacentral:rRNA from 1 species
CUACUGGUUGCUGCAGUCAGGAAUAAUCUACAAUGCGCGCAAGCGUGAUAGUUUGAGUCAGAGUGCUUUUCAACAAGAAAAGCUUUUGCCAAAUGUAAAAAGUUUGGCGAAUAAGGACUGGGUAAGACGAGUGCCAGCCGCCGCGGUAAUACUCGCGGUCCAAGUCGCAGCCGUUUUUAUUGGGUCUAAAACAUCCGUAGCUUGCUUGGUAAGUUUCUUGUGAAAUCCUUUCUCCUAAGGGGAGGGCUUGCAGGAAAUACUGCCUCGCUAGAGACUGGGAGACGUAAAGAGUACGUUCAAAGUAAUGGUAAAAUAUGUUAAUCUUGAGCGGACUUACGACAGCGAAGGCACUUUACGAGAACAGUUCUGACAGUAAGGGAUGAAGGCUAGGGGCGCAAAACGGAUUAGAUACCCCCGUAGUC